GGGGAUGUGGCGGAAUGGUAUACGCGCUCGACUCAAAAUCGAGUGGUUAACAGCCUUGUGGGUUCGAGUCCCUCCAUCCCUA
rnacentral:tRNA from 1 species